rnacentral:pre_miRNA from 1 species
AUAUAAGGGCUUGAUCCAAAGGCCACUGAUUUCAGUGGCUGUCUUGCCACUGCUUUCACUGGGCUUUGGAUCGGGCCCUAACUGAU